UUUUCUUUGGUUACAUCUUCUGACAUCAGACUCGGACUUCCCUUGAACUGAAUUUUAAUGUGCGUAUUGUUAUGCGUUUACUUUUCUACAUUGGCUAGAGGUAUAGGGGGAGGGUUGAGAUCUCACAAACAUGUUUAACCCCGCCGCAUUUUUGCGCCUGUCCCAAGUCAGGAGCCUCUGGCCUUUGUUAGUCUUGUAUUAUUUUAAUUUUAGUUUCUUGUGUACAAUUUGGAAAUUAGUAUGGCGUUCAUUAUCACUGAACUAGUAUAUUUUUGUUGAGGGGCCAGUUAAAGGACGCCUCCGGGUGCGGGAAUUUCUCGCUACACUGAAGACCUGUUGGUGACCUUCUGCUGUUGUUUUUUUCUAUGGUCGGGUUGUUGUC
rnacentral:lncRNA from 1 species